rnacentral:tRNA from 2 species
GCCAGAGUGAUGGAAUGGUAUACAUAGGGGAUUCAAAAUCCCCCGCCGCGAGGCUUAGGGGUUCGAGUCCCCUCUCUGGUACCA